UGGGGAAUUUUGGACAAUGGGCGAAAGCCUGAUCCAGCAAUGCCGCGUGUGUGAAGAAGGCCUUCGGGUUGUAAAGCACUUUUGUCCGGAAAGAAAUCCUUGGCUCUAAUACAGUCGGGGGAUGACGGUACCGGAAGAAUAAGCACCGGCUAACUACGUGCCAGCAGCCGCGGUAAUACGUAGGGUGCAAGCGUUAAUCGGAAUUACUGGGCGUAAAGCGUGCGCAGGCGGUUUGCUAAGACCGAUCGUGAAAUCCCCGGGGCUCAACCUGGGAACUGCAUUGGUGACUGGCAGGCUAGAGUAUGGCAGAGGGGGGUAGAAUUCCACGUGUAGCAGUGAAAUGCGUAGAGAUGUGGAGGAAUACCGAUGGCGAAGGCAGCCCCCUGGGCCAAUACUGACGCUCAUGCACGAAAGCGUGGGGGAGCAAAACAGGAUUAGAUACCCUGGUAGUCCACGCCCUAAACGAUGUCAACUAGUUGUUGGGGAUUCAUUUCCUUAGUAACGUAGCUAACGCGUGAAGUUGACCGCCUGGGGAGUACGGUCGCAAGAUUAAAACUCAAAGGAAUUG
rnacentral:rRNA from 1 species